GACGAACGCUGGCGGCGUGCUUAACACAUGCAAGUCGAACGGAAAGGCCCUGCUUUUGUGGGGUGCUCGAGUGGCGAACGGGUGAGUAACACGUGAGUAACCUGCCCUUGACUUUGGGAUAACUUCAGGAAACUGGGGCUAAUACCGGAUAGGAGCUCCUGCUGCAUGGUGGGGGUUGGAAAGUUUCGGCGGUUGGGGAUGGACUCGCGGCUUAUCAGCUUGUUGGUGGGGUAGUGGCUUACCAAGGCUUUGACGGGUAGCCGGCCUGAGAGGGUGACCGGCCACAUUGGGACUGAGAUACGGCCCAGACUCCUAAGGGAGGCAGCAGUGGGGAAUAUUGCACAAUGGGCGGAAGCCUGAUGCAGCAACGCCGCGUGCGGGAUGACGGCCUUAGGGUUGUAAACCGCUUUCGCAUGUGACGAAGCGUGAGUGACGGUAAUGGGUAAAGAAGCACCGGCUAACUACGUG
rnacentral:rRNA from 1 species